rnacentral:lncRNA from 1 species
GGCCAUUGUCCACGUUUCCAACACACAGUCAGACUCCUCAGCCAGGAACCCCCCACCCCCGGCCACAGUUCCCCUCCUGGUCACACCUGUACCUCCCACUGCCAGAAGGAGCCAUGGGUGUUUGUACCUGUCACCUCUUCCUCUCCGUUCUUACUGUCCCCUGUCGCUGGAGAUACCGACAGUGUGUCGGGAGGCAUCGGCCAGGACUGGGCCGCUGCAGGGCUUAGACGGGACGUGAGAGGUGGGGGGCGGGGCGCAAGGAGGAACUCCCAGGCUCUUUCUGGUCACAAGCCUCUGUCCACCCCCCCACUCCCCAGUGUCCGGCCCCACACUGACACCCAGGCCUAUGGACUCGGGAGAAGUCACUGCUUCUCUCUGAGCCACCUUGUCCACAACUGCAAACGGAAACAAUGUACCCUUUGCUGCUCACUUUUCAAGGUGACGGUGACAGGGACCAACACAGCCUAUGUGAACACAAGCCGCCUGGAGGGCCCAUCACAGGCGGGUGGCUGUGUCCUGGCCUGGAACCACCCUGGGUCUCCUGAGCCCAGGGAACACCCAUCUCCGGUGGCAGCGUGGGCUCGUGUUGCCACCCUGGGUUUAUACCAAUGGUGGCCGCCUGCUGCACCCCCCACCCCGGUGCGGGCUGAGGACUUCAGGGGUCACCUCCCUCCAAAUUUCCUCUUUGCUAAAGCUCGGACCCCUACGGGCUCCCAGCGGGCAGCUCCACUGCAACAGAGGCCUUGGAGGUCGGCGGCUCAGGCCCCACCACCUCCAGCUGAGGAAAGGGGGCUGCGCGUGUGCGGGUGGGUGCAGGCGUGCCAGGCCGGGGCUGUCGCGGGGUGUGCAGGAGGGCGGGGCCGGCAGCGCGGCGCCCCCUUGCGCGGGGCGGAUGGUGAGGGGGCAGCAUGGGGCCCAACCGACGUGGCUUUCCAGGCGGUUCAGGGGCCUCCUUGCUGUCUGGGACGAGCCAGACAGGGUUUGGGAAGCAGAAACCGGCCGGCGCUUCUCGCCCGCCCUCUAGUUUCACUUUCC